CACACGCUCCUUAGAUCCACCUCUGGAGGGCGCUGCUUCCUGAGCCUCGCUCCUCAGCAGCUUCCUGCUGUACCGUCGGAGGUGCUUGAGUCAUUGGCGUGUUAGAGCAGUCCACCUGUCCUCCAGCCCUCCUGCAGCACCGACAAGCCUGUGUUCUGCACAGGCAGCUCUCGCUGCUGUGGUGCUGGGAGACGGACACA
ensembl:snoRNA small nucleolar RNA SNORA53